GUGGGGAAUCUUCCGCAAUGGACGAAAGUCUGACGGAGCAACGCCGCGUGAGUGAUGAAGGUCUUCGGAUUGUAAAGCUCUGUUAAUCGGGACGAAAGAGCCUAGUGUGAAUAAUGCUAGGAAGUGACGGUACCGGAAUAGAAAGCCACGGCUAACUACGUGCCAGCAGCCGCGGUAAUACGUAGGUGGCAAGCGUUGUCCGGAAUUAUUUGGCGUAAAGCGCGCGCAGGCGGAUCUGCCAGUCUGUCUUAAAAGUUCGGGGCUUAACCCCGUGAUGGGAUGGAAACUACAGAUCUAGAGUAUCGGAGAGGAAAGUGGAAUUCCUAGUGUAGCGGUGAAAUGCGUAGAUAUUAGGAAGAACACCAGUGGCGAAGGCGACUUUCUGGACGAAAACUGACGCUGAGGCGCGAAAGCCAGGGGAGCGAACGGGAUUAGAAACCCCAGUAGUCC
rnacentral:rRNA from 1 species